GAGAAAAUGGCCAGCUUGGAACGAUAUUUGCACUCCUAAAAGGGAUGGUGGGUGAGGAAUAAGGAACAUCUAAGCCCAUGAAUAGGAGCUUAAUCCUCCAUUUGGAGAAUUGCAGAAUGCCCUGAAAGUCUUAUAGCCAGAAUUCUCAAAGCUAAAUACUUCCAUGAUACCUUCAUCUGGAGAGCUCAGCCUACUGUCCCCAAAUCGAACUGGGAUCCAUACCUUCAUCUUGUUAGCGCACCCCUCCUCACACGACCCCUCCUCAAUCAGCGCCGCCGCCUCCGUGCCCCCCUCCGCCUCCACUCGACCCUCUCCUCCUCGUCCGGCGCCACUGCGUCUGCGGCAUGCCCGUCGGCAAGCACGACCUGCACCUCAUCUAGGGCUUCUCAGUUUCGAGUGCCCCUGGUCACCACCCCGUUCUUUGCCACCUAGCUCACCAUCGUCGCCGGACGGCCGGAGCAUUCGCGUGCUGCCGCCCCAGCUCGCCGUCGUCGCCGGACCGUUCGCUGCAAGCCAGCGGCCGCAACAACCACGAAGCAGCAUUCGCGUGCUGCCGCCCCAGCUCGCCGUCGUCGCCGGACCGUUCUCUGCAAGCCAGCGGCCGCAACAACCACGAAGCGGCAUUCGCGUGCUGCCGCCCCAGCUCGCCGUCGUUGCCGGACCGUUCGCUGCAAGGCAUCAUGGCGAAGGAUAUGGGCGUCGUCCUUGGUCCCUCUGCCCCGCCGACGGGAGGAGGUGACAUUCUUUGGGUAGUGGGAGGGAUAGUUUUAGCAAUUGUCCUCGCCCUCAUCAUCUUCUACUACGUAUGGCGACGCGAGGCAGCAAGGCGCGCGCAGGAGCAGGCGCAGGAGCAGAUCCAUCACCCACCAGCGGCGGGGGGUGCUGAUGAAGAUAAGAUCAACGCACUCAAGACCAUGAAAUACUCAGCACCGGACCUGGAGGAUGGGAAGCCUGACAUGCAUGAGUGAAGUUUGCGUGGAGGAAUUUAUCGAGGGCGAGACGUUGACGAUCCUUGGGUGCGAGCAUUAUUUUCACCGUCAUUGUAUUCAGAAGUGGCUGCGACUGAACAACGCAUGCCCAAUUUGCCGAGGGGAAGGGGUAGCGUAGGUGUUAUAUAUAUAUAUAUAUAUAUAUAUAUAUAUAUAUAUAUAUAUAUAUAUAUAUAUAUAUAUAUAUAAUGUUAAUAGUAAAAGAAUAAUAAUAUUCAGUUGCUGUCGGCCCAUAUAGGGCCCGAUCGCGAUUUCCACCAGACAGCCCAACAAAAAAACAAAAAACAAAAAUCAUCCACACACACUCCCCACUCCACACUCCCCUUGCUCCUCCCCUCGAGCACACACGACACGACCACCGUCUCCGCAUCGACGCGCUGCCGGAUCUCCCCCCUGCUUCCACGCGCCACCGGCCCACUUCCUCCUGAUUGCUUGCGCCGCCGUCGUCGUCCCCCCUGCUUCCUCGGUGGCGCCGGCCCACUUCCUCCUGAUUGCUCGCGCCGCCGUCGUCGUCCCCCAACUGCUUCCUCGGUGGCGCCGUCCCCCCUCCCCGCUGCUUCCGAACGCGCCGCCGCCCGCCCACCCUGCUUCCUCCGCGCCGCCGGCCUGCCUCCCUGCUGCUUCCACCGCACCGCCGACCCGCCUCCCCGCUUCUUCCGUACGCGCCGCCGGCCCACCUCCCCGCUGCUUCCACCGCGCCGCCCUGGUUCCCACCUAACUCCGCCAGCUGCCUAGGACCCUCGUGCGCGAAGCCCUAGCUCAUCACAGCGCACCUCUGCUGCUCAGCGUCGGCAGGAGCCCCGUGGCCUCCCCUGCGCCUCGUGGUCGGACCACCACGGCCUGCCGAGACCCGGAUGCCGACAGCCACUAGCACGCGGAAGAUGCAGGUGUUCCUGGACGCCCUCUGGUGUCUGGUCUACUCCGGGGCCGUUCACAGCCGCCACCCCAGUCCGUUCAGCACCGCCGCAUCUUGCCACCUGGAGCCACCAUGCACGGGAUCCGUCCGGUCCCACCCACUCCUCCUCGAUUCCCAGCCGGGAGCUCGCUGCCAGAAAACGGCCAAGUCCAAAGGGUCGCCCCGCGCGCCGUCGGCUGCAUGUCGCCGAGCACAUGGAUCACCCCCCUGCCCCGGUGACCACCCAUGCAGUGCCCCCGAUCUGCUCAAUUCUGAUGCUCCCCUGCCCGCCGGCGCAAGCGAAUUCAAGACAGGGAAUAAUGCAGAUGUUGUCUGGCAAUGAAACUGAACAGAGCACUAAUAGACCGGCUGGUAUAUGUGGGGUCGUCACCACCACAAGGUUUUAGGAGCACUUCGCAAGCGGGGGUCAUUGCGUCUGAUUCAGUUAGGUCUGGUGAACCAAAAGCUAAGACGGAUGGCAUGCUGCCAUUGAACACGUCGGCAGCAACAGGCAUUUGGAGGCGGCAGGAGAGGUGUGCAAACAGGGGCAGCAGGCAGUAUCGCUAGAGAUGCUUAACGCCAUCAAGCAGGCACUCGUCAUCCUCGGAAAGCUCUGAUGAAGAUGAAGAUAAUCUUGCCAGCUGCAAUCAAGCUACAGAUAUUGGCAGAGUGAAUGCUUCAGGCAAUGUUGCUCCUGUUAGCUUAGCAAACCAUUCGGCAAGCAUGCUGCAAUAUGCAUCGCCGCCAAUGGGCACAGCCGUGCUUCAUAGCAGCGCGGUGUAUGUCUUCCCAGGGAUUACAAGUGAGUAAGCCAAACCUAAUGGAGUUAACAUAAAAAGCCGGCAGAUUAUGUGUUAACUUUAUACUAACUUCAGUAGUGACUUAACUUUAUACUAACUUUCCGUUAAAAAAACUUUAUACUAACUUUAAUUCAAAGUCAAGUCACUUCUUUUGGGA